GACGAACGCUGGCGGCGUGCCUAAUACAUGCAAGUCGAGCGGAUCUUCAUUAGCUUGCUUUUGAAGAUCAGCGGCGGACGGGUGAGUAACACGUGGGCAACCUGCCUGUAAGACUGGGAUAACUUCGGGAAACCGGAGCUAAUACCGGAUAAUCCUUUCCCUCACAUGAGGGGAAGCUGAAAGACGGUUUCGGCUGUCACUUACAGAUGGGCCCGCGGCGCAUUAGCUAGUUGGUGAGGUAACGGCUCACCAAGGCGACGAUGCGUAGCCGACCUGAGAGGGUGAUCGGCAAAACUGGGACGGAGACACGGCCCAGACUCCUACGGGAGGCAGCAGUGGGGAAUCUUCCGCAAUGGACGAAAGUCUGACGGAGCAACGCCGCGUGAGCGAUGAAGGCCUUCGGGUCGUAAAGCUCUGUUGUCAGGGAAGAACAAGUACCGGAGUAACUGCCGGUACCUUGACGGUACCUGACCAGAAAGCCACGGCUAACUACGUGCCAGCCGCCGCGGUAACAC
rnacentral:rRNA from 1 species